rnacentral:rRNA from 1 species
UUAGGUGACUAAUGCGGUGGGGUUCCACCUCUUCCCAUUCCGAACAGAGAAGUUAAGACCGUCAGCGCCGAUUGUACUGUCCGCCAGCGUUCGACUGAGCUCACGCCGAACGCUGGCGGAUGGGAGAGUAAGUCGUCGCUUCCG